GCGGGAGUAGCUCAGAUGGCUAGAGCGUCAGCCUUCCAAGCUGAGGGUCGCGGGUUCGAUUCCCGUCUCCCGCU
rnacentral:tRNA from 1 species